UUACUUGCUUCGGCGGUACAUAUACUAAAAUUGGAACGAGACAGAGAUUAGCAGGGCCCUGCGCAAGGAUGCAAGGAUGUGGCAUUGGUGCACGCUGCUCUUUU